GAGAUUCUUACUGCAGCUGCUGGACGCUGCACAAGAUUAGAAUUAAUAUAACUCUUGUGCGUGUGACAGCGGCUAUUGUGAAAUCUCACUUACUCCAA
rfam:Oryctes borbonicus contig12473, whole genome shotgun sequence.